rnacentral:lncRNA from 1 species
GCACCCCCAUUAGAGAGUUCAAGAACUCUGAGUCCAUUGGUGUUCCAUUCCCAAAGAACCAGCCCAUGAGGAUAUACUCCAGUCUCUGGAAUGCAGAUGACUGGGCAACAAGAGGUGGUCUUGUGAAGACAGACUGGAGCCAAGCACCUUUCACAGCCUCCUACAGGAACUUCAAUGCCAAUGCUUGUGUUUGGUCCUCUGGAUCAUCUUCUUGCAGUUCAACCUCUCCAUCUUCUACAUCCACCAAUAGUGGAUGGUACUCACAAGAACUAGAUUCCACAAGCCAAGAGAGAAUGAAAUGGGUGCAGAAGAACUACAUGAUCUACAAUUACUGCACAGACACAAAGAGAUUCCCACAGGGCCUUUCCCCUGAAUGCACUGCCACCACCACAUCCUAGAGGAAACUCAACCUUAAAGGCCAUUCAGUUAGAUAGUUUGCCUCUGUAGGUUUCCUCAGUUCUGUUCUUUCAUUCUUUAUCAUUUUAGUCGGUAUCACCACAGCUCAUUGUUUACAUUGAAAUAUAUGAGAUGAAUAAAAAAUCCUUUUAGCCCUUUUUCUGUUUCUUCUCCUUGUUCUUUAACUUCUGACAGAUACAGAUUGGGCCUUAUACCAAAUUUAAAGAGUAAAUAAUCUUAAUUUCUUUCCACUUUAAUCACAAACAGCAAGAAACUUCAGUUAAGAGUCACCAAAACUAUGUACUGAGUCACACAAGAAGCUCCAUGCAUGAUGAAGGCGGCACACAGACAAAUGUAAAAUCGCCCCCAAAUCCAUGAACCCUAUAAAAUAAUAUUUUUCAAACUAAGAGAAAUUAUUACCUUAAUGGCAUGGUUGAUUUAUUCAUAAAUGAAUAAUUUAUUAAUUUAUUGAUAAAUAAAUAAUUAUCAAUUAAUAAAGAAUAUUAUAUUCGUAUUAUAUAGUUCUUGUACAUAUGACUUAUUAAUCUAAAAAUAAUAGAUAUAAUAAAAAGUUAAUAUAUAGAAACUUAAGAAACCUGAAAAAAUAAAAAAUGGUUAUUAAUUAUAAAAGAUAGCGGGACUCUGAAAAGAAAAAAAUGUAGUAUCAAAACUUAAAAAUUUAUUUGAUAAUAAUUUUAAGUAACACAUUUAAUUUUAAAAGCAUUUUUUUUAAAAAAAGAAAUAAAAAAGACAUUUCACAAGAUUUGGAAAACACUUUUAAAAAUUAAUAAAAAAAGGUUUUCAACAAAAACACUUUUGAAGAGAAACAAUGUCAAAUUCACUUUUAAUUGCUAAAACAUAAAUAUUAUUCAUAAAUUUUUUUAAACUCUUAUAUAUUUCUAAAAUAAUAUUAUUAUCUUUUAUAUUUAAUAAAGUUAUUAAUUUAGUACACAGCUCGAGGCGUUAUCGAGCCUUUACCGUGUCUCCGAUGUUCACAUUGGGUAAGCUCUUCGAUAUGUUGUUGGCUGGCAAGGAGAUGAGCAGGUGACUGGAUCUUGCCAGUGGUGUUCAACUUGCAAUUACAAAUUUACAACUGGCCAUGAUGAUGGCUUGGGCAGGUGCUACUUAUCUUUCUCACCCUGUUUUGGCAUUUAGGAUCUUUAGACUUGGAAAAAAGUGGAUGACAGUGGGUGGUGGAGUGAUGUAUGUAGGAAGCUCUGGUCCAGCACAUUUUUACACUAGAGCCCUCUUUUGAGGUUUGGUUCUGGUAAAAGGAAAAUGAUUUGAAUCAAGUAACCAUCAUCAUCAACUAAUCAUGACAAGUUUUUUUUUUUGAACUGUUUGAUAUAUUGGAAAGGGACAAAACCAGGUUGGGGAAGCAGGUAGACGAGGCAGAAGUAAGAUCUAUGAUACUUCCUGAGUAGUUUUAUAUUGCAAAACCGUGUGGUUCUGAUGAUUUAAAAAGUAUUAGUUGGGAGGAGGAAGCCCAUUUGUAGAUAUGGUUGCCACUGCCAUCUGUAUACAACUUAUUCUUUGGUCUCCCACUUUGAACCUUCCUGCAGCACCCUCUCAAGCUCACUAGAUCUCUCCCACCAAGUAUAAAUUGGAGUUGGAAGAGAUCAAUUUCAAGUCACUAACAUCAAACUUCUUCUCUUCAAACACCUCUUAGCAACUAUAUAGCAUAUCCCUCAAUGGCACCCAUCUAUUCCUCUUGUUCAACUGUGACAACAACCCUGCUCAUCUCUGUAUCUCUACAUUGAUCAUAGGAUAUAUGUAUGAAUUCUGCAUGUUUUAUUGCAGAUAAAUGAGUGGUUAUUCAGAGGGCAGUGCAUUGUAAUGGCAGCCUCCAAAUCAUCUUAGUUCAUUCAAAACAUUGAGCAGUUUAUUAUAACAUCCUUUCUAGUGCAGGAUUACCAGCUAGAGAGAAGAGUUCUUGAUACUGAUAUAUGUAGUACAGCUCUAAUAGAAGUUGUUCUAAACCUUCAAGGUUUAAAUGAAGGUGGCUUCCUAAUCUUAGUUGCUUGCUCGAAGCUAUAUGCAAUCUCGAUCAUAUUGUCACUAGUUUUAUGGGGCAUCCCAGGUUGGUGUAAAAAGUUGACAAAAGCUACCAUGAAAAAAGAUAUUAUUUAUUGUAAUUUUUCUCUUCAUUUUUUAAGUGAUACACCGGGUGAUAGUAUGACAAUUGAAAUGAAUCACAAUAAAUUAUUCAAAUAACAAAAAUUAUUACAUUGUUUGAAUUAAUUUUUAUUUUUAUUAAUAAAAUAAUUAAAUAUUUUAUAUCGAAGUUAUAAAUAUUUUUUAUUUUUAAAAAUAAAAAAAUUAUCUACAUACCAAUAUACAAUUUGUAUGUAUACACAGAAAAAUCAUUAAAACAUUCAUAGAUAAGGAUGAAAAUAUUGGUUUUUACAAAUAUAUUAGUAAUUGGAUUUUAUGAAUAUAUUAAAAAAUAUUGAUGAAAAUUUUAAUAAAAGAUAUCAAUAGGACGAAAUUAAUAAAACCUCAUACAAAAUGUUGAAAAAAAAUUCUAAAAGAUAAUAGAAGAAACAACAGUAAAGUUAUAUAUAUAUAUAUAAUUUUUAUGAUAUCAAGUAAUAUUAUAUAGAACUCGGAAAUAUAUUUAUAGAUGAAUGUAUUCAAAAUAAAAGAGAAUUAUUAUAUAUUAUUUUCAAAUUUAUGUUUCUGUUACUUUCUUAAAGAAAUGUUUUGUUGAUUUUGAGAAUCUCCUUUGAUUUUUAUAGCCGUUUGUGGUUGAUGGCAUAGAGAUCAUAGUAAAUAAUUACAAUUUUCUGACCAUUUUUCUGGCCUAUUGUUUUGUUUCGUGAAAUUGAAAAUUUGGUAAUAAAAACCUUUUUCCAAUUUGUAACACUGAAAACUUGAAGUUGCAAAAAAGGUAAAUUCAUGGAAGUUUGUGAUUGACAUGUGAUGGUUUAAAUUUUAGCCUGUGUGGGCUACAAUGGAAAUUUCAGUGGCUAAAUGUAACUAGUUUCUGCAACAUGUUUUUAACACGCUAGGCAAGAAAAUUUGUUAAUAUUUUUUUUCUCAAUUUUAUUAAUCCAAAUAGUCUAACCAUAGAUGGAGAAUGAACAAUACAAAUAGUGGUGUGUAUCACUGAAUAUAGUUAGAGGGAGGGUUGAAUGAGACUGAUAUCUUUUUUACCAAUCUACUCUAAGAGUUUAAUUUUUGUUUUCCUGAAAUUUUUUUAUUAUUUAACAAAUUGAUAAUCAUCUAAAAUAAAUUGUUAAUUUUAUUUUUCUUCCAUUUUUCCUUUAUUUUAUUUCGUGGUUAACCAAACAAAAGAAAAUGAAUUCCUUUUUUUUUUUCCUUUAAUUUUUCAUGGAUAACCAAAUAAGUGAAAAAAUUUAUAUUUAUUUCCUUAACUUUUUCUUUUUUUCCAUUUUUUCUCCCAUUUUUCUUUCUCUUGCAUUUUCCCGAACCAAACAUAGCCUAAAAAAACAGGUUUUCUCAUAUUUAGUUUUAUCAUAGAAAAAAUAUAUAUAUAUAUAUAAGUUAAAACCUCUUUAGGAACUUCUAUCUUGACCUUACGCUAAACCAGCCCACCAACCUAUCACAGUUGACAAUUGGUUGAGCUCUGGCGGUGAGUGGCUUUUGUCAGAAGCCGAGUAGAUUUCAAUGAAGCUAGCUAGCACCGAUCUUUUGGGCUGUUACUGGGUCCAGCAUGAGCGUAUUUGCUGGGUUGGUGAUGCUUUUUCAGGUACAAGUGGAGAUGGUGGUAGCUGGGCCAGGUGUGUAAUUUGUCCUUGUCUCCCUGUUUGGCCAUUUAGGAUCCUUUUGACUGAGAAAAAGUAGCUGAUACCGACAGGAGUGAUCUCUCCAGGAGCUUCUCUUCUAGGAGAAGGCGGACGCGGCAGACAGAAAGAGUCUUGCAAUCAAUUUCCAGAUUUUUCUAUUCCAAAACCGCGUGAGUAUUGUUGAUGCCUUGCGUUCUAGGAUACACAUAGCUGCCAAGUGGACACGCGCCUUCAAUCAAGAUUGAGUCCUGACUCAGUCGGCCCUGUAAAAGGUAUCCGGAUAGGGUGUCCGGACACACCAUCCGAUGAUUUUGUUAGCCAUGACAUAAGAUGAAGAUACUAAAAGGAAAGCAGCUUUAAAUGUAUCAAGAAUACUGAUGAUGGAGGCCCACUUGUAGACGGCGCUACUGUAUACAGCUCAGUUUCUGCUCUCCAAAUAUGAACUUUCCCAGUAGUAUCAGCAUCAUUAUAACUAAGAGAUUAGAGAGAUUGAUUUCAUUGAUUCAGCAUAACCAAAUUUCUUCACUUUGAACAUUUCUUACCAACCAUACAACAUAGUUUUCAAUGGUAUCUCCAUAUUCUUCUUUAGCUUCAGGCCUGCUGAUCUCUCUACUGGUCAGCUUCUUAAUAGUUGCUUCAACAGGUAACUUGGCAUUACUUAGGGGGAUGGGCGUGCUCAGAUACUCAACAAUCAUCCCUAUUUGAUGUGAGAUAUCAGAUGGCAUUACUUAAAAUGUGUUUACAUGAUUAAGAGGAACUCACACUUUUACAGUAUUAGAAACUUUCUCCCUAUCUGAUGUGGGAUAUCACAAUCAUCCCCAUAAAAACACAACGUCCUUGUUGCAUCACAAGGGAUUACAAGGUCAAACAAACCCUUACAUUGAGGUUAAAGAUCAACUUGAUACCAUUUGUAAGACUCGUUCUUAACUAUGUAGAUUUUAUCCUCUCUAAACCCAAAAUAACCCUCAAUACUUCAAAACGCAUCUACAUAAUUAAGAGAAGUACACAUUUACAUAGCGUCAAGAGUUUAUCUCGUCUACGAUGUAGGAUAUCACAAAGCACCAUUCACUGCCUCCUACAAGAACUACAAUGUCAAUGUUUGUGUUUGGUUCUCUAGAUCAUCUUCUCACAAUUCAACCCCUCCCUUUUCUACUUCCACCAAUGGUGCAUGGUACUCAAGAGCUAAAUUCCACAAGCCAAAAAAGAAUGAAAUGAAGGCAGAAGAAUUACAUGAUCUACAAUUACUGCACGGGCAUAAAGCAAUUCCCACAAGACCAUGCUCCUAAAUGCAUUGCUGCCACCACAUCCUAAAGGAAACUCAACCCUAAUAACAUUCAGUUGACUCUUUCUUUGCUUGUAUCAUCUUGAUAAUUCUAUUCUUUCAUUCUUUAUUGAUAAUAACAACAAUUGAAUCAAGAAAAAAAGUGUGAUAUCUCAUUAAUUGUUUAAGUUAUGAACAGAGGAAUUAUUUAUACAAGGGCAAGCACUAAUUCCAUAGCAAGAUGACAUGUUGGUUGAGUGGUUACAACUGAGUAGUAGCUUGUAUAACAGUUUGGUAAUUAAUCAGUUGUUAGUUUAGUCACUGUUAACUAUCUAGCAUUUAUAAUCACGAUUUUUAUAAUGUAAUUAUGAAUUAUGAAAUUUACUUAUUCUGAAAUAUUACCUUUUUUAAUAAAUGACCAACAUAAAUAGAAAAGCUUUAGGUUAUGUUUGGUUUCCGGAAAAUACAAAGUAAAGAAAAAAAAUACAAAGGAAAGAAAAAAAAUACAAAGGAAAAUGAUCUUUUCAUGUUUGAUUGUUCUAUGAAAAAUAUAAAAAAAAUCAAAUAUAAUUAAAAUUAAUUAAAAACUUAUGUAUUUUUAAAUUAUUUAAUCUUUAUAUUGAUGAGUUAAAAUAAAUAAAAUGAGUUUGAAGUAACAAAAAAAAAUAAUUUAUCAACUUUUAAUUAAUUUUUUUAUUUUCCUUCACUUUUUCUCUCCUUCUACUUUUCUUUUGUAUUUUCUUUCCCUUACAUUUUUCUUCAAAUUUUCUAGGAACCAAACAUAGCUUUAGUCUAGGCAAAAACCUUGGAUUUGCAAUGGCAAAACUUGUGUAUUUUAUUAUUGUUCUAUAUAUACACAAAAGGACGUUACUUUACAAAAAAGAAGAAAUACAAGAAGUAUAAAUUAGGAAAAAGAAGGAAUUAUGCUCAGAGAAGAUUCAAUCACAAAUAAAGUACACCAAAAUCAAAGAUGUACAAAAACAAAAUAUUCGAUAAUACUCUCCCUCAAGUUGAAGUAUGGAGGUACGAACACCCACUUAUGAAUGAGGGAAGGAAAAACGUUAACUCUUAAAGUCUUGAUAAAGACAUCGAUUAAUUGGUCUUUGAUUUGAAUAUAUGCAAUAUGAACUAAAUCAACUUUAAUUCUUUCGCGUAUCACAUGACAAUCAAUUUCGAUGUAUUUAGUGUGUUCACAAAAUGCUAGAUUUACAACCAUAUUGAGCUUAGGUUGUUAUUGCAAAACAUGAUAGUAGGUUGCAUAUGGGUAAUGUGUAGAUCAUGGAACAAUAAAAGAAGUCAUUGAAUUUCACAAGUUGUAACCAUGACACGAUAUUUCGGCUUUAUUAGAGGUGAUUCUUUAAAAAAUCACUUGUUUAUAUAUCAAAAAUCAAAAUGGGUGUUAUUUGUAAACACUUCUUGCUUUAUUCCUAGAUUAAAUGUAAAAAAUACACUUACCUUUAAAAAGUAAUGUAUUUUAAAAAGUAUUUAAAAAAAUUGAAAUAUUAAAAAAAAAUUACUACUUCAAAUUUUAAGAAUUUUAAAAAUACAUUUUAGAGAUAUAAAGUAAAUUGAUAGUUUUAUAUAAGAAUUAUUCUAUUUUAUAUAAAAGUUAAUAUUUAUUUCUAUUUUAAAAAAUAAAUAAUAAAAAAUAUAUCCAAACAGGCAUUAAACAAUUAUUUUUUUAAAGGUCCGGGAUGAACUGUUAAUAAAAGUAUACAAACAAUAACGUUUUAACUAAAAAUCACUCUACAACAAACUUUAAAUUAUGUAAAAUUCAGGGUUUGAUAAGUUUCCAACUCAGGGUUUAAUAAUGUGUUUGGUAAAAGGGAAAGUGGAUCUGCCCUUUUGUCCGCUUUAAGUGCAUUCAUAAACCGUGUCAAAAUGAAAGUGGGCUCUGCUUGUCCCAUUUGAUGACAACUAUUUUCUUUACAUUUUGGAGCCCAGCUGUGCCCAGCUGCUGACUGAACCUUCCUCAUCUCCUUCCAAUUCCCCCAGAACUUCUACUAUAAAACCCCACAUACCCACGCUAUUCUCUUCACUUCCAUACUCAAGCUUCUUUCCAUUUCUCGUCUCUGUAUUCGCAUUCAAUGACUUAUCCUACUACUUCAAAUCUUUCACCAAAGUUGCUCUUGCUCUCUCUUCUGCUUGGUUCCUUUGUGGUUGCUUCUGUUGGUAACUUGUACCAAGAUUUUGAUAUCACUUGGGGUGAUGGCAGAGCCAAGAUCCUCAACAAUGGACAGCUUCUUACUCUCUCUCUUGACAAAGCCUCUGGCUCUGGCUUCCGGUCCAAUAAUGAGUAUCUGUUUGGGAAGAUUGAUAUGCAGCUGAAGCUUGUGCCUGGAAACUCUGCUGGCACUGUCACUGCCUACUAUGUAAGCCUCCUCUUUACCAAGCGUUUUUCCAUCAAACGCUCUCUUGUUUUCAUCUUCUUCUGACUCACAAAUCAAUAUCCUGCUUUGUGUAAUUGCAGCUAUCGUCACAAGGGCCUACCCAUGAUGAGAUAGAUUUUGAAUUCUUGGGGAAUCUCAGUGGUGAUCCAUACAUUCUUCACACUAAUGUGUUCAGCCAAGGCAAGGGAAACAGAGAGCAGCAAUUCUACCUCUGGUUCGACCCAACUGCCGAUUUCCACACAUACUCCGUUCUCUGGAAUCCCCAGCGCAUUAUGUAAGUACUAUUAUCCUGAUCUCCAAACCUGAAAUCUGGUUUAUGUUUUUCGGGUUUCUGUAUUGAUUUACUCAUCAUGGGUAUCUCUGUUUCAGCUUCUCUGUGGAUGGCACCCCCAUCAGAGAGUUCAAAAAUUCAGAAUCCAUUGGUGUUCCAUACCCGAAAAACCAGCCCAUGAGGAUAUACUCCAGUCUAUGGAAUGCAGAUGACUGGGCAACAAGGGGUGGGCUUGUCAAGACAGACUGGAGCCAAGCACCCUUCACUGCCUCCUACAGGAACUUCAAUGCCAAUGCUUGUGUGUGGUCCUCUGGAUCAUCUUCUUGCAGUUCAACCUCUCCAUCUUCUACCUCCACCAAUGGUGGAUGGUAUUCACAGGAGCUAGAUUCCACAAGCCAAGAGAGAAUGACAUGGGUGCAGAAGAAUUACAUGAUCUACAAUUACUGCACUGACACAAAGCGAUUCCCACAGGGCCUUCCUCCUGAAUGCACAGCCACUACCAUGUCCUAGAAGGAACCGAACCUAAGCCCAUUCAAUCAAUUCUAUUCUUUAAUUCUUUAUCCUUUUAGUUGCUGUUACAACAGCAGAAACCUCAUAUUGUUUACAUUGUAAUAUACGAGUCAAUGCAGAUAAUAAAAGAUUAUUUAUGAAUGACAUGCACUGUUUUUGAACCUCAAUUUGGAUGUCAAAAACCACUAGAGAAAGAAAGGAAAUUGUUGAAAAUGACUGAAGAGAUGAACCAUUGUCAAUGCAAUUUUUAGCUUUUUUUUUCAAUUUGCUUUCCCUGUUCUUUAACUUAUGAGACACAGAUGGGGCCUUGAACCAAAUUUAAGGAGUAAAUAGUUUUUAUUUCCUUCCUUCUAAUUGUAAACAGCAAGAAAGUACAGUUAAAACCACAAAAACCAAGCACUGAGUCGCACAAGAAGCUCUAAGCAUGAUGAAGGUGGCAAACAGACCCAUGAAAAACCACCAAUUCAUGAACAAAACAGUCCCACGUCCCAUGAAUAAUCUAUUGUUAAUUUCUGUCCCACCUCCUUUGCUUGUGGAAGUCAGCAAACCUCUCUGUGGUUCUGGUGACAUGGACAUUGUUGUAUAGACUCCUCUCAAUAUCUACCCAAUUGGGAGGAGAUCGUUACAAUGAUAUCAAAGUCGAUCAUCGACCUCAAUAUGAGAGUUUGUUUGGCCUUACAAGAAGUGUCUGUCUAUUUAAUUAGAUAAUCUUAUGAAACACAAUGAGGAUGUUAUGUCUGCAUAAGGAGUAGGUGAUUGUAAUAUUCCCUAAAUACAUAUGAGUUUCUCUUUACCUUAUAGAAAUGUUUUAAAGUCGUGAGGAUUCUUUGAGUUUAAAGUUGACAAUAUCCCCUAUCAUAUGAGUUUGAUUCUCUUUGUGAUAAUAGGUAAAUUGAUUAUUAGUCACUUCUACUAUAAUAGAUAUGACACAUGAAUACUAAGUCACCUCUGAUUUUUGUAGUGUGCUUUUUUAUAAGUUUCUGCCCUGUUCACAUUAGGGAAGCUCUAGAAUAUGUGAGUAGGUAACUGGAUCUUACUAUGGGUGUUGAACUGGCAGUGACGGAUGCUUGGGCAGGUGCUGCUUGUCUUUCUCUCCUUGUUUUGGCACUUCGGAUGUUUAGAGUUGGAAAAAGUGGCUGACAGUGGGUGGAGUGAUCUAUGUAGGAAGCUCUCGUCCAGCACAUUUUUACACUACAACGUCCUUUCAAGGUUUGGUUUGGGUAAAAGGAAAUGAUUUGAAUUAAUCGAUCAGCAUCUACCAAUCAUUACAAGUUCUUAUUGAGAUGAUAUUACAGAGAAAUGAAGACAUUGUUCUCUGGUGUCUGGUGAAGAUGCUAUAAUUUUUCAAAUAAUUCAGUGAGUAGGAAGAGAAUGAUCAUUCUUUGAAAUAUGCAGCGAAAAAUACAAGAGAGGACUUAGAUUUUGUUAGCACAAGAGAUAUGGAGGAGAACUCGCCUUCUCUUUGGUCGGAAGAAGCUAUUCAUAGAGUUUUUCCAUGGGUUUCUAGUGAAAUUUCUUACUUAUUCUUAUCUCUUUCCCUUUAGUAGGAAUGACAACUUUAUAGGCUUUGUAACUAUGAUUUUUUACCAUUCUUGUUCUUGACAGAUAUGGUAUGGGGGGGCGGGGGCGGGGUGUGGUUUCUUGCUCUUAAUUCAGUUGAAAUAAUAAUAAAUAAACUGCACUUGAAGCCAUGAGAAUCACCUGCCUUUUCGGGCUGUAACUCGACUUGUACUAUCAGUGUUUGUUUAUUGUCUGAUUGAAGCACUUGCAGCUACCAACUGGCAGUGAUGAUGGCUUGGGCAGGUGCUAUUUGUCUUUCUCUCCCCUGUUUUUUGGCAUUUAGGAUCCUUCACCCUAGGAAAAAUGGCUGAUGGAAGAAGCUGUAGUCCAGCACAUUUUUACACUGAAUUGCCCCUUUGUAGUUUGUAUCUCGAGCCAAAAGCUUUACUACAGUCAAAAGGAAAUGACUGAAAUCAAGUAAUGAUCAACAUCAAUUGAUCAGGACAAGUUUUUGUUAAGCUGUUAACAACUUUGAUAUACUGGAAAGGAUUCCAAACCUGGUUGGGGGACGCGGCAGAAGUUAAAAGCAUUGAUAUUUGCUCAGUACUUUUCUAUCGGGAUACCGUGUGAUUGUGAUGAUUUUAAAAAUAUCAGUAGGAAGUCGGGUUUGGUUGUAUUGUGAGUACUGAUGAAGGAGGCCCGUUUGCAGAUGGGUUGCCACUGCCACCUGUAUACAACACAUUUUUUGGCUCUCCAACUUUGAACCUUCCCAGAAUUAACACACCCCUCUCUCUCCACCAUUAGUAUAAAUGUCGGCUGAGAGAUCAAUUUCAAUUCACUGAAAUCAAACAUCUUCUCUUCAAACACCUCUUACCAACCAUACAGCACAUCCCUCAAUGGCACCCAUCUAUUCUUCUUCUUCAGCUGUUUCUACGGCCCUGCUAAUCUCUGUAGUGGUAAGCUUCUUAAUGGCUGCCUCAGCAGGUAACUUCUACCAAGACUUUGACAUCACUUGGGGGGAUAGGCGUGCUAAGAUACUCGACAAUGGAGAGUUUCUCACUCUUUCCCUUGACACGACCUCUGGAUCUGGUUUCCAGUCCAAGAAUGAGUAUUUGUUUGGGAAGAUUGACAUGCAGCUCAAACUUGUUCCUGGAAACUCUGCUGGCACCGUCACUGCCUACUAUGUAAGCCCGCCUUUCAUAUUACUUGUUGCACAUCAUCCUCCAUUUGAUGACCAUUUGUUCUCCAGAUUAGUAUGCAGUUCUCAUUCAUGUAUGUGUGGAUUUGCAGUUAUCUUCACAAGGGCCAACCCAUGAUGAAAUCGACUUUGAAUUCCUGGGGAACCUCAGUGGGGAUCCAUAUAUCCUCCACACUAAUGUGUUCAGCCAAGGCAAGGGGAACAGAGAGCAGCAGUUCUACCUCUGGUUUGACCCCACUGCUGAUUUCCACACCUACUCCAUCCUUUGGAAUCCCCAGCGCAUAAUGUAAGUAGUAUCGUUAUCUUCAUAACUGCAACCUGGUUUAUGUUUUUGCGGUUCUUGUAUUGAUUUACUCAUCUGGGGUGUCUAUGUUUCAGCUUCUCUGUGGAUGGUACCCCCAUCAGAGAGUUCAAGAACUCUGAGUCCAUUGGUGUUCCAUUCCCAAAGAACCAGCCCAUGAGGAUAUACUCCAGCCUCUGGAACGCAGAUGACUGGGCAACAAGAGGUGGGCUGGUGAAGACAGACUGGACCCAAGCCCCCUUCACUGCUUCCUAUAGGAACUUCAA